CCUACGGGGGGCAGCAGUGGGGAAUAUUGCACAAUGGGGGAAACCCUGAUGCAGCGACGCCGCGUGAGUGAAGAAGUAUUUCGGUAUGUAAAGCUCUAUCAGCAGGGAAGAAGAAAGCCGGUACCUGACUAAGAAGCCCCGGCUAACUACGUGCCAGCAGCCGCGGUAAUACGUAGGGGGCAAGCGUUAUCCGGAUUUACUGGGUGUAAAGGGAGCGUAGACGGCUGUGCAAGUCUGAAGUGAAAGCCCGGGGCUCAACCCUGGGACUGCUUUGGAAACUGUGGAGCUAGAGUGCUGGAGAGGUAAGUGGAAUUCCUGGUGUAGCGGUGAAAUGCGUAGAUAUUAGGAGGAACACCAGUGGCGAAGGCGGCUUACUGGACAGUAACUGACGUUGAGGCUCGAAAGCGUGGGGAGCAAACAGGAUUAGAUACCCUAGUAGUC
rnacentral:rRNA from 1 species